CAUAUUAUCUGUUCAUUCAUCAAAUAUGUAUUGGGCUAGAUCCUGUGCCAGGGCUGGACAUACAAUGCUAAGAAAGUAAAAUUCCCCGCCCUCAUGGAGAAUAACAUUCUUCACAGAGUUUGUGGGGAACAGACUCCCUCCAGUACCUUGUGUUUCUCAAGUCUUAAACUCAUCCUCUGCUCUGGAUUUAAAAGCAAAAGUGGCAUCUCCGGGUCUCUCAUGUAAUAUUUGGAGGAACAUUACACUUCCCAUGUAUAUUUCAUGCCUCUUUCCCAAGAUUUUACUGCUGCUUCUAAGGCAGCUAACAGUAGGUAGGAAACUUUGACCUCUCUUUCACUUUGCCCCUUUAGGACCUCCAGUUUUAGACUUCAUCAAGCAAGCCUGGUUUCAUUUCUUCUUGCUUAGCCUGAUGAACCAGUGUGCUGUACACCACUGUUGGAAACACUGGUACAAAGUUCUGGUACAGAACUCUUUCUGAAUAUUAAUCUCCUGUAUUGCUAUGCCAGAAUCAGAUUCUCCAGAGAAAGAACUUCUAUAUGGAAAGAGGCAGAUUGCUGGAAGGAGUAAAUAAUUCACAGACAACUCAUAAGCCCUGAGCUCUGGUCUGUCUCUGCCAAUUAAAUGCUGUGGAACUUUUGGAAAUGAAGAUGAGAUAAAGGCUUUUCAUACCAACAAAAGUGGAAAGAAUUCAUCAUAAGAAGACUUGAGUGAGAAGAAAUGCUAAGAAAGCUCUUCAAGUAGAAGAAAAUGAUACCAGAUGGAAAUCUGGAUCUCCACAAAGGAACAAAAAGUAUUGAGAAUGGGAACUAUCCUAUGUGGGUAAAUAUGAGGGUUUUUAAAAUUAUUUAAAUCUCUUUAAA
rnacentral:lncRNA from 1 species